GUCGCCUCAGGGUUACGGACAAUCCAAGCUUGCGCUCCUCUCAUCAGUCAAUUAACGGAGGCUAAGACACUCAGUGUGCUCCUUUAGAGCCCAAGAAAAGAGUCUCAGAAUAUUGUGUGAAUCUUUUUUUCUAGUGACUUUUCAGCCAAAAUCGGGCGGAGAAGGAAGUGACCAUGACAAAAUUGGCAAUUUUGUUCCUUGUGGUGCUCUUGGCCCAAGCUCAUGCCCAAUUCGAGGAUCCAGCACCCAAACGGAUCCCUCCAGCCACUUUGGCCAAAUACUACACUGACACUAUCAUCCAAUCCGAAAGUAUUGGAAUCAAACAAUGCACGGAUCGAGUUUUCAAGGAGCGGCAAAAAACAUUAGCCAACGGAGGACCUUCAUUGGGCGUGAUCCCAACUGUUGGAUUGGGAAUGGCCAUGCUUCUGUUUCUUUUUGUGGGCCUUUUUGCAGCUGGGAUUGCUCAGGCCUUUCAGAUGGUGCGGAAACACGUUUACCAUGAUGCUGAUAAUUUGGACACGGCUUUUGACGCUGGUGGCAAAGUUAGCAUUGGCUUGACAGCUACAACCAUUGUGUCCCAAUGGACUUGGUCUGCAACUCUCCUGCAGUCUUCUACGGUGGCCAGCAAGUAUGGAAUUAGUGGACCAUAUUGGUACGCGGGUGGCGCUGCCAUUCAAAUCAUCUUGUUUGCCAUCUUGUCCAUCAUGUUAAAAACCCGAGCACCAGGAGCCAAGACAUUCCUUCAGGUUAUCAAGGCUCGAUUCGGGAAGCGAACUCACUUGACCUUUUGUUGCUUCGCGUUCUUCACCAACCUCAUCGUGAUGAUGUCUUUGACGAUUGCGGGCACAGCGGUUUUGAACUCGUUGGUCAAGGAUCUGAGCCCGGAAUUGGCGGCAAUGCUUUUGGCCGUGGUGAUUGGCGGAUACACGCUUAUUGGAGGCUUAGGUGCCACUUUCUAUGUGUCAUACUUCAAUACAGCGAUGAUCUUUGUUCUAAUCAUCAUGUUGAUUGUAGAGGUAUUUUACAACCCUGGAAAUAAUCCCGAAAAUCCAUUUGGUAACUCCGAAGCGGUAUUUGAUUUCAUUUCCUGUUGGAAAGCUCCUGAUGGAAACAAGAAUGACAGCUACCUGACCUUCUUCUCGUCAGGUGGACUCGUCUUUGGAAUUGUUAAUAUUGUGGGUAACUUUGGUACAGUGUUCUGCGACCAGGCUUAUUGGCAGAGCUCUGUGGCAGCCAAGCCCCUUCAAGGCGUCUGGGGUUUCAUUCUAGGGGGACUCACUUGGUUUGCCAUCCCAUUCUCAUUGGCCACCACCAUGGGAAUGGCUUAUUUGGGGAUGAGCAGCGCUCAAGGCGCACCCUUGCUCACGGACAGUGAUGUGGCUAAAGGUCUGGCCGCCCCUUUGGUGGCUCAGAAGCUUUUGGGAACCACGGGCGAAUACGCCAUCCUAUUUCUGAUUCUUAUGGCCGUGAUGUCCACGGGUUCGGCUGAAGUGAUUGCCGUGGCCUCUAUUCUGAUCUAUGACGUCUAUCAAGCCUACAUCCAGCCUUUCAGACCCGGCCUUAAGAGUGGCCAAUGCAUUAUCUGCGCCAAAUAUAUCCGUUUCCCAGGUCUGGAAGAUUCUGAAUUGUGCCAAUGUCCAAGUGCCACAGGGUGUGAAGGAUGUGCGACCGACACGUUGAAGAGAUCUAAGGCCAAAGGAUUGGUCAAACCCCAUUACGAGUGUCCCAUCCAUAAAGACUACAAAGAGUAUCAGGAGCAACUUUUGGGCUACAAGAACUGGUGCAUUGUCCUCUGUACAUUCUUGUCCAUCCCGCUUUGUCUGUUCUGUUGGGCAGUGGACCUCAACUUGGCUUGGACUUACUAUUUCACCGGAAUCCUGAUCGCAUCCAGUGUUGUUCCAAUUGCCUUGUCCAUUUUGUGGGCCAGAGCCACAGCUCUAGGCAUGAUGAGCGGUGUGGUCGGUGGAUGUAUUUGUGGAAUAUCAAGCUGGCUUUUCUAUGCCUCAAAAUACGAGGGAGGUUUGGGUGCAAGUGUGUUCGUGAAGAACACGGGAGAGGAAUUUCCAAUGCUGUUAGGCAACAUGAUGUCCAUUUCUUGUGGAGCUCUUUUCGCCUUUGUCGUGUCCAUCUUAACAAGGAAAUCCAUGACCUCUGAAGAAGUUGAAGCAGAAUGGGAAAAAACGCGAGACAUUGACAAUCCAUUGUCGCCUUGGGUCCAAGUGUAUAAGGGCGAAUUGCAACUUGAGGAGGGAGACAGAUUCCACGAUCGGCCUCCUUUGGACAUUGUCAUCCGCAAGUUCCGUGCCGCCAAGAUCACCGCCUACAUAGCUGGAUUAUUCUUUACGGCCUUGUUCAUUUGCAUUUGGCCGGGUUCGAUGCUCAGUGUGGGAAUCUUCGAUUUAACGCAAUUCAAUAUUUGGACGAUUGUCAGCCGAGGAUGGGCUUUUAUCGCAGCCACAUUCAUUGUGAUCGUUCCUUUCUACCAAGAGAUCCGAGCGAUAAUUCUGCAGCACCAAUUGAACAAAGACCUCAAAAUUGCGGAAAUGGGAGCGAUUCCGCAAUCAAACGGAAAUGGACAUGCCAAGUCUCCGAUCGGCAAUUCUCAAAAGCAUGUUGUUAUAGUCCGACAAUUGCGCACCGUCGCCAAUCGCCUCAUCACAUCCGUCAAGGGAUCUACCAACAAUUCGUACGACCUUUAACGCGAGUCUAUAAAAAGUACCACGCAUUGUAGAAUAGCAUCCUUUUCUCGAGACAUACGCCCAAUUAUUCAACACAAUUUUCACUCUUCUUGUAUGUGCUUCUUGACUACUUCAUGAAAAUUGCUGUCCAUUCUUACUGAGGUGAAUCCUUAUGAGGAGUGAUGAACAAAUCAAAAUCGGAUACACUGGGUGAAUACCUUCAACAAAACUUGACUGUGGUGUGAUCUAUUUUUAUAAGUCUUCAUUACUUCACAAUUUAAACAUGUGUUUCUAAAAUGUAAGAAUAUCUCAAAAUGUGCUGGUAGAUAGAAUAAAAGUUUAGUUCACAAU